rnacentral:lncRNA from 1 species
GGCCAAAACAAUGGAGGGACAGGUGUCAACAAAUUAGUGAAGCAACAAGCACUGCUGAGAGUAGAUGGACCAAAGGGCAGUGUCAUCUGACCCAAAGGUCGAGAAUCAAACAGGUGGGAAUUUAAAACCUGCUGCUGGCCCUAAGACUGCUGGCCGGAAGAUGGCUGGCCCCAAGGCGGCCGGCCGGAAGGCGGCUGGCACAAGCUGCCUAAGAAGCUGUUAGGGAGGCCAGCAGAUCUCGAUCCGGCAGAGCAGGUGGAGGCCGCUGCACAAAGUUCAGAGAAUGUGAUCCAACGCAUUCUCAAUCCUCAUCAGCCUCCUUCGAGUUCCAUUCCGCCUCUUUUAACCAGUCCCACUUCGCCACCGUCUGGUAGCUCUCCGACUUUGGGCCAGUCUUCGGAGAGUGAAUUGCGUUUGCAACUACAGAUUUUGGAAAUGCAUGAAGUUUCUCCGACUUUGGGCCAGUCUUCGGAGAGUGAAUUGCAUUUGCAACUACAGAUUUUGGAAAUGCAGGAAGUUCCGGGCCUGUAGCCAUCGGGCCAGCCUCCUUAUGGUCCGCCGCCUUGGGGCCAACCAUCUUCUGGCCAGCAGCCUUGGGGCCAGCAGUAUAGAACAGCUGGCCGGAAGAUGGCUAGCCCCAAGGCGGCCGGCCAGAAGGAGGCUGGCCUGAAGGCUGCAUGCCCGAAACUUCCUGCAUUUCCAAAAUCUGUAGUUGCAAACGCAAUUCACUCUCCGAAGACUGGCCCAAAGUCGGAGAGCUACCAGACGGUGGCGAAGUGGGACUGGUUAAAAGAGGCGGAAUGGAACUCGGAUGAGGCUGAUGAGGAUUGAGAAUGCGUUGGAUCGCAUUUUCUGAACUUUGUGCAGCGGCCUCCACCUGCUCCGCCAGGGAUCGAGAUCUGCUGGCCUCCCUAACAGCUUCUUGGGCAGCUUGUAUCACUUCUUGGGGAUAUGUCUGGGAAGGGAGCACAGGAUCGAGAAUAUAUCGUAGAGCAUCUUUUGACCUUCGUGCAGAGACCGACACCUCAUGUGCCUUCUGGAGUCGGGAGCCAUGAAAAGCCUCAUGGAGUUGUUACAUCAAAUCUCGGGGAGAGAGAAAGGGGUUCCAUGGUGAAUUGCCUUUUUUAUAUCUGUUGAGAGUUAGUUAGCACUGUAGCCGACUAACUUGAGAUAUAAAAAGGACAGUCUUCGGGAUCCACUUGGGAGGCGGCGACUAGGGAUUUUCUUUUUUCUUUUCUGUUUCUUUUCUUCUCUUUUUCCCUAACAAAACUAGAGAAUCGAAAUGAAAAGCUAAGACUACAGAAAUGUAAGAAAGGAGAGAGAUGAAAACUUAGAGAGAUAGAGAAUCUGAUCUUGUAUUUCACACACAAAUGAAUUACAAUUUGUCAUUUUUAUAUCUCAAGUUAGUCGGCUACAGUGCUAACUAACUCUCAACAUUUAACAACCCUAACAGAUUCUGCUGACAUGGCUACACUUAUGUGGCAGUGCACUGAUGUGGCAGUGCUGUUCAUCUAUAUGACUAUAUGAGUAAGAGAGUGAAAUGCCCUACUUUUUAACGCUAUUGAUCAGAUGUUGAUCAAAUAUGAACGCCUGAGAUCAUCUCACGUGGAAACGGAUUGUGUGAUCCCGCAGAGUUGAGUCAUUUUACGAAGGAAAUGUUCUGGUGCUACCAGGUCAUGGUCCGGAGACUCUGGAAUUCGGGAGAGACUCUGAACUUCCGAUUCGUAUAUGGAGGGCGAUAAGGAGAAGAAAAGAAAAACAAGGAGGACAACCAGGCCACCGGCGAUCGGCAAGUUUCUCUGGCCGCUGUCGCGAAGUUCGUUCCGAUGUCGUGCGAGACGGAGAUGUGAAUGUGAUUAGGCACGAGAGCAAUGACACGGA